rnacentral:sRNA from 1 species
UUUUUUUUUUAUUAAGGCGUCAUUUUUGCUAUUGAAAUGAAAAGUCCUCCUGUCCUAGUUUUAUUUCUAUUGCUGUGAUGGGGGUUAGGGGGGACCUUAACAAAAAGCAGCCUGUGAGAGAAUAGGGUUUAUUUCAGCUUCAAGUCCAGGCUAUAGGUCAUCAUUGUGGAGAACUGAGAGAAGGGACUUCAAACAAGCCACAGCAUAUCCACGGUGCAGAGCAGAGAGAACGAAUGCACACUCGUGCAUGCACUUGCUGGCUUGUGUCCAGCUCAACUUGCUCACCGGCAUACAGUUAGGUUCCCCUCGCCCAGAGCGGGCUGGAUCUUCCCACAUCAACUAACUUAAUCGGGACAGCUCCCCACAGACACACCUCCAGUGGACAACAUAGAGGAUUCCUCACUGAGGCUCUCUUCCCUGGUGGUUCGAGGUCCCACACACACCCCGCCAGAUAGUGUAUGCAUUUGCAGCCUGUGUUCUUGGUGCAGCAGUGUUCAAUGGGAGAGUCUGUGGAAUAUGUUUGGGUCCUGGAAAUGGAGCCUUCACGAGUGGACCAGUACUCUCCUCCCUCAGAUGAGCUAGCCACCACCCUUCCCCUCCUCCACAGCUUCUGGUUGUCUCAUUUCUUCUCACCGUAAGCUGAAGCAUCAUGAAGUCGAGCAGAUAUGACAUAAUGUUCUUUGACUUCCAGCCUCCAGAACUAUGAGUCAAAAUAAGCUCAUAAAAUAAAUGAUCUGUGUCUCGGCUCUUCUGUUAUAGAUAUUGAAAAUGGAUAACGCAGAUCUAUUUACAGUAAAAUGUAUUCAUAGUAAACGUCACUUUAUUUCGCGUACAAUUGUGAAGGGUUUUUAAAAUUUCUAUCCACUUUACAUCUCAAUAGCAGCUCCCUCUCUCCUCCCAGUACCCUCUUAGGCAGAACCUCUCCCCCAUUCCUCGCUCCCCUUCUCCUUUGAGAAUGGGGAGCCCACUCUAGGUAACUCCCCACCCACCUCAGCACAUCAAGUCACUGCAGGGCUACGCGUGGCCUCUCCCACUCCAGUUCUGAGCUUUAGCAACCGUACUUGCUACAGACAAGUGUCGUACUCCUCCUAACUCCCCAGUCUGUUUUGAUAAUCAGCCCUUGCCCAGGUACCAGCAUCACACAACACAUACCUGUGUAAGCAUGCCAUGCCAAGGACAUCGUACAGUGCGUGGCCUUGUAACUCUUGCCCUCAGUGGGGUGUAUCUGUGAUUCAUUCAUGUGUGCAGAUUGUAGGGUUUUAAAUGUGGUACAUAUGAAUGCGAUUGUGUUUACAGUUCUAAAGCAUACAAUUCAGUGGUAUUAAGUACCACUAUACAGAGAAUUCGGACUCUAAUCUACCCAUUCCAGACGGAUGUAACCUCCAGUUUGCAGCAGUUGACUCUCAGACAGGAAGUCCAGCUGAGCGACACUGUCUGAGUCCCCGCUGCCCAAGCACUAACCAGGCCUGAGUGACAUUGCCUAGCUUCCGUUCCAUGACUGCACCUGCAGGAUGGUAUGACUGGCUAGACUUUCUCACUUCAUGGUUGCACCAGACACCAGUCAUGCGAUCAACUCCUGCCCUCCUCCCAAGCUCUAUGGUUGACUCUCAGCCCAAGUCCAAGGCUCCAGCUCUCUAACUGCAUGGUCUUUCCUGAGUGAAAAAAAAAAUGUCAUCUGUAGCACGUCAUUAACAACAACCUAGGCAAGGUCCCAGGGUGAAAAGCCCUUUGUACUACAUGUAACCAGUAUCACAUGUAAAAGGACAGACACGUGAUAAAGCAAUCGGCUGAGGAGGUGGACACUGUCUUAUAAAUAUCUCUUCUUGACAAAGCUGAUAAUUACAUGUGAAAUUGUCACUGGGGUUUCUUUUCAAAUAAGAUCUUUUAACUGUGAGAGAAAUGAUUAAAUAGAGAGACUGCUGGGCGUGGUGGUGCACGCCUUUGAUCCCAGAGCAGGCAACCUGGACGAGGUUCAGAGGCGGUAUGGCGGAGGACCCACUUUUGCCCUCCUUGAGCCUUCAACAGAUUGGGGCAAGGCUUACUACAGGCUGGAGACUAAUUUGCUCCACUCAAAGUCCACCAAUUUAAAUGGAAAGCUGAUCCAAAAACACCCUCACAGAAAAGCCCAGCUUGGCUCGUCCAAGUUGGCAGAUUGACAAAAUCGUUAUCUCCAAAGUGUGCUCACCGAGGCAAUGUGAUUGGCCCAGAGUGGUUCCAACGAAUAAUAAUUAAAAAAACAACAAGGAGGAGGAAAUGUCCCAGAUGCUCUGGGAGAUUGCUCUGAGAGGGGAAAUUAGGAUCGUUUAUUAUCUUUCUUGAGCUCCUGGCUUGAGGAGGAACGGAGUGGGGGUGGGGGAUGGGUAUUGUGAUACACCUCAGACGCUGACAACUGCGGGGAGCAGAAAGAGUAUGUUAGGACUCAAGCACGGGGCUCAGGCAGAAAGAUUUCUCUGAAAGGUACAGAGAUAAGAACUCGGAGAUCUGAGGCUUCACCUGUAACUUAGCAUCUAUCAAACCUAAAACGGAAAAAAUGGUAGAAAAGGGUGUCUAGACUCCCCCAAAGGCAAGCUAAAUCUAUAGCAAGAAAUAGGUGAAUUUGGCUCAAUACACCUAUCAGAAAGGCCAGUAUGGUCAGAAUGAAGGCUAGAAGCUCUCCUGACCCAGCAUCUCGUCCCUGGAGUGGACUUGGGAGCAAUAAUCAUCUUUACAAGUGAUACAAGUUGGAAUUUCAGGAGCCUAGGAGUCUGGAGGAAUGACCGCCCCACGUGGUAGCAGCCAGGAGCUGAAAUCUGGCAUGGAUGCCCAUUGCAACGAAAAACUGGUAAUGGCCCUGCUUGUACUGGCAAACAACUUUUACAACUCAUAAAAUCCUAAUCAUGUUGCUGGAAGCCCUUUCAACUCACAGUGUGUAACACCACCAUCAAAUACUUAAAAAAACAAAUUUUAAAAGUAAAAAUGGGGACUAUGCUUUCACUUAAACGCUCAACGCUUCGGGUGUUUAGCCAUGGUUACUUUAAUUUUUUUUUCACUUUAAAGGAUAAUGUUUCCUCUGUUACCCAAAAGCAUUUUUUCCCUAAAGGAGACACAGACAUGGACACAGUGUAUGUUAAAUGAAAGAUCUAGGAACCAAUCAGUCGGAAGGGCCUCAUGUUCUUCAAACAUCAGAGCAGGGUUACACUCAUGUCUUUCCAGAAAAUGAAAGAAGUCCCAGAUGAUAUCUGCCCCAUGCACCUGACCAAGACACCAUCCCAGAGACCACUGGACAGUGAAGCAUCUGAAGAAAGAUAAUAAACACACCAAGAGGAAGCAUCCCAAGAGGAAGAAGAAGCUGAUGACUUGGGGAAGGCAUCAAGACUUUAAUUCAUCAAGCUGAGACCUUGGGGAGACAAGGACCCAAUACUACUGACCCCCCAAAUGGUGACGUCAUGCUUAUUGACUAUAUUAUACGUUCAUUCUCAGAUUGUGCAAAAUCCAAAUACUUUAUUUUCUGGCAUGUGCUGCUUUAAUGUGUCAUAUUUCUCUCAUAUUCAAAUCAAUGAUCUGCAUAAAGAGAAAGACACAACAUCUCCAGUAACCUUUGAAGGCCAUCUUGAUUAAGAUGGCUUCCCCUUUCCUUGGUCCUCUGCUGGUAUUCCUACAAUUCUGUUACACAUGCAUAUAACGUUAGACCAGCCAUGCAGGCUAUGCAGCCAACCUUGGCUUAUACUACUACAGCCACAAAAUCUCUUUUAAAACUGAAAAGGGGGAGAUAUAGGGAGAUAUAGGAAGUACAGCUAUCUUUGUGCUCACAGAUAAGCACCAGAGAAACCUGGGGCGUUAAGCACACAGGGUCGUUCCUUCAAGGGAAGGAAUGCAAUACCUGUCCUCUGCCCAGAAGGCUGAAAGACCUUCUGACCUAGUGACCUUUGUGCUAUCUGUGUAGCUAGAAACUUCUCUGGCACUGGAUCCUCCCCUA